rnacentral:rRNA from 1 species
UACGAAGGGGGCUAGCGUUGCUCGGAAUCACUGGGCGUAAAGCGUACGUAGGCGGUUACUCAAGUCAGAGGUGAAAGCCCGGGGCUCAACCCCGGAACUGCCUUUGAAACUAGGUAGCUAGAAUCUUGGGGAGGUCAGUGGAAUUCCGAGUGUAGAGGUGAAAUUCGUAGAUAUUCGGAAGAACACCAGUGGCGAAGGCGACUGACUGGACAAGUAUUGACGCUGAGGUACGAAAGCGUGGGGAGCAAACAGG